GUUUGAUCAUGGCUCAGAUUGAACGCUGGCGGAAUGCUUUACACAUGCAAGUCGAACGGUAAAGGGGGCAACCCCUUGAGAGUGGCGAACGGGUGAGUAAUAUAUCGGAACGUGCCCAGUCGUGGGGGAUAACGUAGCGAAAGUUACGCUAAUACCGCAUACGAUCUACGGAUGAAAGCGGGGGACUCGCAAGAGCCUCGCGCGAUUGGAGCGGCCGAUAUCAGAUUAGGUAGUUGGUGGGGUAAAGGCUCACCAAGCCAACGAUCUGUAGCUGGUCUGAGAGGACGACCAGCCACACUGGAACUGAGACACGGUCCAGACCCCUACGGGAGGCAGCAGUGGGGAAUUUUGGACAAUGGACGCAAGUCUGAUCCAGCCAUUCCGCGUGCAGGAUGAAGGCCCUCGGGUUGUAAACUGCUUUUGUACGGAACGAAAAGGUUUCUAUUAAUACUAGGAGCUCAUGACGGUACCGUAAGAAUAAGCACCGGCUAACUACGUGCCAGCAGCCGCGGUAAUACGUAGGGUGCAAGCGUUAAUCGGAAUUACUGGGCGUAAAGCGUGCGCAGGCGGUUAUAUAAGACAGAUGUGAAAUCCCCGGGCUCAACCUGGGAACUGCAUUUGUGACUGUAUAGCUAGAGUACGGUAGAGGGGGAUGGAAUUCCGCGUGUAGCAGUGAAAUGCGUAGAUAUGCGGAGGAACACCGAUGGCGAAGGCAAUCCCCUGGACCUGUACUGACGCUCAUGCACGAAAGCGUGGGGAGCAAACAGGAUUAGAUACCCUGGUAGUCCACGCCCUAAACGAUGUCAACUGGUUGUUGGGUCUUCACUGACUCAGUAACGAAGCUAACGCGUGAAGUUGACCGCCUGGGGAGUACGGCCGCAAGGUUGAAACUCAAAGGA
rnacentral:rRNA from 1 species